rnacentral:rRNA from 1 species
AUUGAACGCUGGCGGAAUGCUUUACACAUGCAAGUCGAACGAUGAAGCCUAGCUUGCUGGGUCGAUUAGUGGCGAACGGGUGAGUAAUAUAUCGGAACGUAUCCAAUAAUGGGGGAUAACUAGUAGAAAGACUGCCUAAUACCGCAUACGUCCUACGGGAGAAAGUUGGAGAUCGUAAGACCGGGCUUUAAUGGAGCGGACGAUAUCUGAUUAGCUAGUUGGUGAGGUAAAGGCUAAACAAGGCGACGAUCAGUAGAUGGUCUGAGAGGACGACCAGCCACGCUGGAACUGAGACACGGUCCAGACUCCGACGGGAGGCAGCAGUGGGGAAUUUUGGACAAUGGGCGAAAGCCUGAUCCAGCCAUUCCGCGUGAGUGAAGAAGGCCUUCGGGUUGUAAAGCUCUUUCGCAAGGGAAGAACACUUACUUAAUAACACUAAGUGAGGUUGACGGUACCUUGAUAAGAAGCACCGGCUAACUACGUGCCAGCCGCCGCAGUAAAAC